UCGCUGUGUGCUUGCCGGACUAAACCCGUGCAUCCACACAUCCAUCCAUCCAUCCAUCCUUUCUUGCAUCCAACUUUUACUGAACGAUUCCUAUCCGCCAGACGUUCCUGGCAAGGAGUAGGCCCUCAGAUAAAUGUGUUGAAUGAAUGAAGCGCGAGCCCACCAUUCUAUGGGUCAGAAAGGACGCAGAGAGGCUGGAGGAGAGUUGUGGACUCGGUGCGGCGGAGACGAUCCCUGGCUGGGCCUCAUCCCAGGUCUGGUGGACCCUUGUUAGAACAGCUUAGAGAAGGCGGGCUCGUGGGGCUAAACCUGCGGUUUGCAGAGGCCGAGGAAGCCGGGGUCCAAUAGGAGGCGACGCCUGCCGCCCGGAGAGCCUUUCCCCACGCCUGCGCCCCCGACAGUUCUCUUCCUCUGGACUCAGAGAAAGGGAAUUUCUUGCCCAGAAAUCCCAGUGUUGGUCCCUGAGGGUCUAACCUCCGUGGGUCUCCGCUGGCCUUGCUGCGGGUCACCUCCCAGAACUUUGGGGUACAAUGUUGACCACCUUGGCCUGGCCUCCAAGGAAAGACUGCGUGGGUAGAACACCCCCAGUGACUGUCCAGCCCCUUCCUUGGACAAAGCCCCCUUCUCCACACCCAGGGAAUCACUGACACAGGACCCAUGUCUGUGAAGCCCACGGUCCUGAAGAUCUGAAGAUAUCACAAGGUGUCAGGCGGUGGAAAAAGGCAGGUGCAAGUUCAACAUCUGCUCUCAGGAUUCCUCAAGGCCACAGUGCCCCUUGGUAAGUACCUUACCUGUGCUUGGUGCCUAGGGCCCUUCUUGCUGAGGUCAGCUUUCUCCUGGUAGGUAUCCCUUCUCUCAGCUCAUCCCACAUGCCACCCUUAGUUUCAGAAUCUGUAAACUUUAAAAUCCCUUCAC
rnacentral:lncRNA from 1 species